ensembl:Mt_tRNA
GGUAAAAUGGUCGAGUAGGCAUUAGACUGUAAAUCUAAAAACAGGGGUAAAGUCCUCUUUUUACCA